UCAGCUCGUUGACAGCAUUUUGUAAAGGCUACAAAGAAUCCGCUCAUAUGCUUUAUUCUGUAGACCAUGCAUAUAAAUAUGAGCGAGGACAACCAAAGUCAAAUUAGAACGAUCGAGAGAGCCGCUUCAAAGGCACCUACCUACCUCUAAUACUAUUACUACUAUUACUACAGCUACUCCAACGAUGACCUGCCAUUGGGGGGAGAAUAUUGCCCCAACACCCAAGAUUCGCACCUGAUGACGGUCUCAGUCCAGCACAGUCCUUAACCCAGGACAGACAUCCAAGCCAGCCUUCCCAUAGGCCUACGAAGGGGCUAACUGGCAUGCCUCGAGCUUGGACAAAGCCGACGCCAUUAUCCAAAGUUCCUGUCCAUAAGGCAUCCAGAUUUGCUGAGUCACGUGCUCCGUCUCCUCGCAUGCAAGAGCUUCCUUACUGCUAGAUAAUAUCAAUUUUGGAAACCAGCAUUGAAUUAGAUGUUGAUUUUGGACAGUUUUCCAAUAUUGUGAAAGAUAGGAGCGAUCCAGACAUUAUAUAGCGCUCUGCCCACGUGGCUCUAGGUCUUGCCUUUACCUCAGGCCAUUCAACGUUAUCUUGUAAAUAAAUGUAAGAAAAGACGUUGUUUGCACCCCUCCUCCUGCCUAGUUUGUCUCUCUUUCUCCCGUCCGGGCAUUGGAAGGAAGAAAGAUCCCCCAGUGCAGGUGCCGAUGUUGAUGGCAUGGACGAGGGAGCAGCCGAACAGACAGAUGAAGCCUAGGUCUAGCCACGGUCAAGAGAUGAAGGAAUUCAACCACGGCGAUCGGCUCGUCUUUUGGCCAGACAGAAGAUUAACAACGGAAUAACACGAUUUUAUGACAGUUUGUUUAAGUUGUUUGCUCCCUUUGAGGCUGUUCUAAUUUCUUUUCUGUGCUUCGUGGCAUUUUGCAUUUGUUUAGUCACUCAUAUAAAUUCCUGGAUGUCUCCGGGCAUACAGUUGAAUUCCAUCCAACCACUUUCUGGACUGGCAGGCCUGUAUAGUAAGACGGGCGCACACCGUAACUUUCUACAGCAGAGUUAGCGAGUUGAACAUUUGGCCAGUUUCGCACUCCCAGACACCUGUCGUCCAGAAAGGGGUGAAAUGGAAAUCACUCUCAAAUGCCCGGACAUCCAUGAACUUAAAUGAGUGACUGUACCUUUAAAAAAGGAAAAUCAGUAGGGGAGGAUGGUGGGGCAAAACGGCACACUUAAGGUUUGAGUCCAAUUUCUAAAAACCCUUUUGCAAUAUAUUUAAAUAGUUAUUUUUUCUCUCAUCUUUAUUCAUCAAAAUGAGUUGAGUGGAGUUGAAUAUAGAAUUUAGGCAAAAAGGACAACCACUGGGACCUAUGAGGUCAUUCAGUGCUGAAAUGGAAAUUGACAGUAAAGUGUUUGAAAGGCGUAACAGGAGAAUAACCUCACAGUUGUGCUAAGAAUCCAUUGUUAGGAGAGGCCGGAAAGCAAGAUGAAGAAAGAAAAUAUAAGAGAAGGUACAGUAAAAGGAAUGUAAGUGGUUGCAGCUAGGGGCCGAAGGCACGCUGCAAAGAACCUUAAGUAAUGCCUACAGUGCACCUCAUAAGGUCCACUGAAGGCACUACCCUCCUACGGGGUUAUUCAUCAAUAAACAAAAUAAACUUUCUUUGGAAGAUAUAGUUUUCAUACUUUACCCAAGAAAAUUGACAAAAGAAGAGACCCAAGUGGACCAUUAUGGACAAUGGUUAGGGCAAAAUGGCCCUGGCAUAUGGGGCAAAAUGACCCCUCAUGAGUAAACACUUGUUAUGUCAGCAUACAACUUAAAGUUGUCAUGUUCUCAUAACUCUAGAAAGUAAUUAGUCUUUGGUUAAACAUCACUGAAAAAAAUGUCUCUCAUUAUACUACCUACCAAUGUUAAGUAACGUUGCCUUGCAUGGCAAGUGAUUAUUAUUCAUAAUAAAAGAAAUAUAAAACAUAUUUUCCUUUUUAUUUCUCCAAAGAAAUUGUAGCAUAUUAUCAGCCUAAGUAAAUACAGGCCUACGCACAAAAUUCACAGCUGAAUUCAUAAUCACCUUCUUCUACACCUGCACAUUCGUCAUGAGCCUAGUGUUUACAAGUAGCACACUGAAUCCAGCCUUCACCUCCUCUCUUACUGUAUUUUUCACAGCAGUACAAACAGAAUGUCUCGUCAUCAUCCUCGGACUCACUUGAUUCCUGUUGAGUGACAGUUGAUAAAGGACUAUUUUUUUUUUUCCUUCAAGACACAACCUGAAACCCCAUCCCCCUUUUUUUUCUUUUCUUUUCUUUGCCACUCUUAUGUUUAACAGCUACUGGCAUUUUUGUUUUCUUUUUAUCCAUCUCGAUUAAUUUUUCCUUUAUCAUCUUCUUGUAUGGGCUUGACGUAGUGUGCUCAGUCCUUCUUACUUUACGCUUUGCACUAACUCGAUCUGCUUUAGGAGGAGGACUUAUUUCAAAUGGAGAAAUAUAACCAGAGGUGCUAACAGUGGGUGGGUCUGGGCCUUUAGGCACUUGCUUCUUCUGAGGAGUAGGCCUAGCUACAGCUGCGCGGUUAAAACCACGAGUUCUUGCAGCAGAAGUUGCUUCAGUCUGACGCAGAUAAAGCUCUUUGCGUCGCGAAAGAAUACCUCACCUCUCAGCCAGUCUCUUCCAUUUUCAUAGGGAUGCUGCAUAUGAUUUGGUGCAGCCAACUGAUAUGCUAGGUGGUGGACGUCCGUUGGAGUCAACCCAAACAUCAUUUGCUCCGUAUUACGGGCUCCUCUAGGAGCAAGAACCCGUGCUGGCAUAAGGCCAGCUAAAUCUAAAACAACAUUUGCUCCAUUAAUAAGAUAUACUGACUCCAUGUCUUUAGAGAGUUUGAGUGGCAAGUACUGUAUUUACUACAAGCUAAUACAGUUUGUUGAUAAUUGUUAUUAUAAAUUUACCCGAUUAAAUAAAUAAAAUAAAAAAUUAU